GCUACACGUGAAUGACACGUGACGCCUAACUGGACGCUUCACUGCUGCACGUGAUUUACGUGACGUCUACGUCACGUCAACGUCUCGUCUGCGUCUUGAAUUCAAUGCAAUAAAUAGCAGAAUAAAAAAAAAGUUAAGACGUGGAGUUAGACGUUCAGUGAGACGAAUGUGUGCUGCAAAGUCAUGUAUUUGGACCCUUAGGAACGCCAUACUUGUGAGUCUCGUUUGCUAAUGAUACAAUCCGAGCGCCAUAGACACACUGCAUUGAACCGUGUAUAGGAGCGUGUUACAACACGUGUUAGCAAAAAUGACAACAAAUUACUUCACUGCUACACGUGAAUGACACGUGACGCCUAACUGGACGCUUCACUGCUGCACGUGAUUUACGUGACGUCUACGUCACGUCAACGUCUCGUCUGCGUCUUGAAUUCAAUGCAAUAAAUAGCAGAAUAAAAAAAAAGUUAAGACGUGGAGUUAGACGUUCAGUGAGACGAAUGUGUGCUGCAAAGUCAUGUAUUUGGACCCUUAGGAACGCCAUAUUACAAUCGCUCUCGCGGUACUUUGAUGUCACACGUCGUCCGGGUGCAGCGCCGCUGUCGCGGACGGCCAAAGACUAUAGAUACCAAGAGCCAAAACUCAAUACAACGUUCCAUUGCAACACCAGCGCCCUGUGAUUUCCGCCGUUUCGGGUUGAAAGUGACUCGUCUUUUUUUCUUUCUCGAUAGCAAUAUGAGCAGCUUUGUAAAACAUUGAAUCUGAAAUCCAACCUGUAUGAUGAUAAUACAUGAUGACAAAAACAUUAGCUCGCCAGAAACCAUUUAAGUUAAAAUCAUUUUUACCCGCAAAAUGGCGGCCGCACUGUUUGCCAAAAACACCAGAAUUUUGCCUCUUGGUAUCUAUAUUCUUUGGCGCCGCAGCACAUUUUAACGCGACCAAGUUAUCCGACCUUCAAGCAGCCUGUGAUUGGAGUGUAGCUGCACAGAUUGUGUAGUAGCGGUAAGUUUCUUAUGUUUUCUUUGGACUAAACUUUGUCACUUCAUAACAGUUACAAAAAAGUAGUAAGUCGUUGACAGUGCAGGUGGAAGUUUUAACGUUAAGGUGUCAUCGUGGUUUAUACGUGUAAAGAGUCUGAGUUCAAUGCAGCUUCGAUUUCUGCAUUUAUUUAUCUGCAUAUUAAAAUUCACAGAAAUCUUGCAAACAUCAGAUAUCAGUGUGGGCAUGCAGAAUGUCCUGCUGCAUUUCAUUGUCAGGAUUAAUCCAGAGUCCAGCAAGUCUAGUGCCAAGGUUCAGAGAAGCCAGAAAACUGGAAAGUCAGUACACCAAAAGAGAAAUCUUCAUGUGGAACAACCCGUUCAGCUGUGAAUUAUUAUUAUGUUUCUUUAUUAUAUUUUAGCAUUUUGUUGUUUGUUUAGGAAAUGUUUUCAAAUUGUGUUUUAUGUUAAAAUAGAGACAAUGUAUUUGUCAAACAGUGUGAUCCACUUAAAUAAAUCCAAGCAUAAAGUGCUUGAACUCCA